rnacentral:lncRNA from 1 species
AUUAAGCAUAAAAUGCAUCACAGUGGUUUGGCUGAGCUGAAUUAUAGAUUAAUGGGAUAGCUGGGUUGAAGAUAAAGAUCCUUCAAGCUCAGUGACCCUCUCCUUCCACUCUGCCUAACUGCCUUACUUCAGCUAUUUGCAAAUCUGUACUGAACACUGAAUUUUGAAGCUGGUGCUGUGGAAGCAUUGGUCAGCAGCUCUGCUGCUUCUGAACCUGAUGGUAAUGGAUGGGCUAAGAAAUCUGGACACGUUCAUUGCACCGAGGGACCGUGUGCUUCUGGAGAUUUUUCCUUGUCAUAGGGAAUCCAAAAGCAGCACUCUCAAAGAAAUAAGAAGCCUGGUUUUCUGCAAAACCUGCAUUCUCAAUCUUUGCCAGGGGAAUAGAGUAUAA